rnacentral:rRNA from 1 species
UACGUAGGGACCAAGCGUUGUUCGGAUUUCCUGGGCUUAAAGGGCGCGUAGGCGGGCGAUCAAGUCAGGGGUGAAAGCCCCCAGCUCAACUGGGGAAGUGCCUCUGAUACUGGUAGUCUCGAGGGAGGUAGGGGCGUGCGGAACUUCCGGUGGAGCGGUGAAAUGCGUAGAUAUCGGAAGGAACGUCGGUGGCGAAAGCGGCGCGCUGGACCUCUUCUGACGCUGAGGCGCGAAAGCCAGGGGAGCAAACGGG